GCGGGCGUGGCGGAACGGCAGACGCGCGGGACUUAGGAUCCCGUGGGGGCAACCCGUGGGGGUUCAAAUCCCUCCGCCCGCACCA
rnacentral:tRNA from 1 species